UACGAAGGGGGCGAGCGUUGUUCGGAAUUACUGGGCGUAAAGGGCGCGUAGGCGGCGGGGUAAGUCUGGUGUGAAAUCUAGGAGCUCAACUCCUAAACUGCACUGGAUACUGCUCUGCUAGAGGACUGGAGAGGAGACUGGAAUUCACGGUGUAGCAGUGAAAUGCGUAGAUAUCGUGAGGAAGACCAGUGGCGAAGGCGGGUCUCUGGACAGUUCCUGACGCUGAGGCGCGAAGGCCAGGGGAGCAAACGGG
rnacentral:rRNA from 1 species